AUGCCAUGGUGGCAGCCGGGCCAGGGCGGGGGAAGAAAGCCGUGGGGAGUCCGCCAGCAGGAGGAAGUAGUAGAGGCUAGUGGAGUGGCGGAUGCCGAGGGCCUCGUCCAAGCGGCCGUCGCCGGCCUCGGCCCCGCCGCCUCCCGCCAUGACGAGCUGUUCCGCGCUGUGCGCGCGGUCGACAAGGAUCUCCGGGGCUCCGCCGCCGGCCAGGAGGAGAACGAGAUGGAACGCCAACGUUCGCUUGGCCGAGGCUUGCUUGGAGAGUUGUCGACAAGCCGGCGGGGUGAGCUACUGCCUGGUCCCCUGUUGCCGGCGACCGUGGUGUCAAGCAAGAGCGGGUCAUGUCGUCAUGGGAAGAGGCUCAAUGGCUCACCAUCGAAGAGCCGUCGUAGGAUCCACAAGGUCAAAAAAGUUGCAGGCGGGAGGAGGUCGGGAUGGAACUACCUCUUCCCCAUGUGA
rnacentral:rRNA from 1 species